AACGAACGCUGGCGGCAGGCCUAACACAUGCAAGUCGAGCGAGGACUUCGGUUCUAGCGGCGGACGGGUGAGUAACGCGUGGGAAUGUGCCCUUCUCUACGGAAUAGCCCUGGGAAACUGGGAGUAAUACCGUAUACGCCCUAUUGGGGAAAGAUUUAUCGGAGAAGGAUCAGCCCGCGUUGGAUUAGGUAGUUGGUGGGGUAAUGGCCUACCAAGCCGACGAUCCAUAGCUGGUUUGAGAGGAUGAUCAGCCACACUGGGACUGAGACACGGCUCAGACUCCUACGGGAGGCAGCAGUGGGGAAUCUUAGACAAUGGGGGCAACCCUGAUCGAGCCAUGCCGCGUGAGUGAUGAAGGCCUUAGGGUUGUAAAGCUCUUUCAGCUGGGAAGAUAAUGACGGUACCAGCAGAAGAAGCCCCGGCUAACUCCGUG
rnacentral:rRNA from 1 species